UGACUUUCUUAGGAUGCUUUCUAGAGAGCCUAGUUCCCUUUUUGCACAAUCAGGUUUCUGGAUUUGUGAUGCAAGCAUUUAAACUUUCCAUAGCCUAGUCAACUCAUGGUUCAGGAGGCCACAUAUCCUUUGAAGUAAUUUCCCCAAUUCCAUUCUCACAUCUUGUUGCCUGAUCCAUACAUGCUAUUCUAUUUUUAUGCAGAGUGGAUUAUUUAUCCACUCUGCUGUGUGGCUAUUCCUCGUUGUUCUGUCUGAUGCUAAAAGUCCUUUCCUCAACUGGCUAGGUUUUGCUUCUUGCUGUUUUACUUCUUUCUUCAUGUACAGCUCUGCCUAAUUCACAAGAUUAUCCAAUGAACAUGAAUUUAGUCUCCUUCUGGUUAAUCAUCAUCUAACCUGCCAAAGUGUGUUUCAUGGGUUUCCAUAUUUUUACAGAUGGCUUUUAGGCCACAAAAACAGAGUGUACCUUGGAGUCAUCAAACUGGAAAAACAAUCAAGACCUGCUCAGUCCAUCUUCCCAGGGCCAGUGAAGGAUGGUGUGUGCAUCACGUCUAGUGUUUUGUCUAGACACAGCCUCUCUCUGUUCCCUGCCCCAAUGAACGUCUGCACUAGGUCCAAGGCUUGGAGUAAUUUACCUGAAGAGUGAUACCAUUUGGAAACCACUGUAAGUAUAUUUUAUCUCUUAUAAAAGACUUCUUGUUCAGCAAAAAAAAAGACAUCUUAAAAAAACAAAA
rnacentral:lncRNA from 1 species